UACGUAGGGUGCAAGCGUUGUCCGGAAUUAUUGGGCGUAAAGAGCUCGUAGGCGGUUUGUUGCGUCGGCUGUGAAAUCCCUCGGCUCAACCGAGGAACUGCAUCCGAUACUGGCGGGCUUGAAUCCGGGAGAGGGAUGUGGAAUUCCAGGUGUAGCGGUGAAAUGCGUAGAUAUCUGGAGGAACACCGGUGGCGAAGGCGGCAUCCUGGACCGGUAUUGACGCUGAGGCGCGAAAGCUAGGGGAGCAAACGGGG
rnacentral:rRNA from 1 species